GACGAACGCUGGCGGCGUGCUUAACACAUGCAAGUCGAACGAAGAGCGAUGGAAGCUUGCUUCUCUCAAUCUUAGUGGCGAACGGGUGAGUAACGCGUAAUCAACCUGCCCUUCAGAGGGGGACAACAGUUGGAAACGACUGCUAAUACCGCAUACGAUCUAAUCUCGGCAUCGAGGAAAGAUGAAAGGUGGCCUCUAUUUAUAAGCUAUCACUGAAGGAGGGGAUUGCGUCUGAUUAGCUAGUUGGAGGGGUAACGGCCCACCAAGGCGAUGAUCAGUAGCCGGUCUGAGAGGAUGAACGGCCACAUUGGGACUGAGACACGGCCCAGACUCCUACGGGAGGCAGCAGUGGGGAAUCUUCAGCAAUGGACGAAAGUCUGACGGAGCAACGCCGCGUGAGUGAUGACGGCCUUCGGGUUGUAAAGCUCUGUUAAUCGGGACGAAAGGCCUUCUUGCGAACAGUUAGAAGGAUUGACGGUACCGGAAGAGAAAGCCACGGCUAACUACGUG
rnacentral:rRNA from 1 species